rnacentral:rRNA from 1 species
UGGGGAAUAUUGCACAAUGGGCGCAAGCCUGAUGCAGCCAUGCCGCGUGUAUGAAGAAGGCCUUCGGGUUGUAAAGUACUUUCAGCGAGGAGGAAGGCGUUGUGGUUAAUAACCGCAGCGAUUGACGUUACUGGCAGAAGAAGCACCGGCUAACUCCGUGCCAGCAGCCGCGGUAAUACGGAGGGAGCACGCGUUAAUCGGAAUUACUGGGUGUAAAGCGCACGCAGGCGGUCUGUCAAGUCGGAUGUGAAAUCCCCGGGCUCAACCUGGGAACUGCAUCCGAAACUGGCAGGCUAGAGUCUUGUAGAGGGGGGUAGAAUUCCAGGUGUAGCGGUGAAAUGCGUAGAGAUCUGGAGGAAUACCGGUGGCGAAGGCGGCCCCCUGGACAAAGACUGACGCUCAGGUGCGAAAGCGUGGGGAGCAAACA